rnacentral:rRNA from 1 species
AUUGAACGCUGGCGGCAGGCCUAACACAUGCAAGUCGAACGAGUGGCGGACGGGUGAGUAAUGUCUGGGAAACUGCCUGAUGGAGGGGGAUAACUACUGGAAACGGUAGCUAAUACCGCAUACCAUCAGAUGUGCCCAGAUGGGAUUAGCUAGUUGGUGGGGUAACGGCUGACCAAGGCGACGACCCCUAGCUGGUCUGAGAGGAUGACCGGCAACACUGGAAGUGAGACCCGGUCCAGACUCCUACGGGAGGCAGCAGUGGGGAAUAUUGCACAAUGGGCACAAGCCUGAUACAGCCAUGCCGCGUGUAUGAAGAAGGCCUUCGGGUUGUCAAGUACUUUCAGCGGGGAGGCGUUACCCGCAGAAGAAGCACCGGCUAACUCCAUGCCAGCAGCCGCGGUGAUUC